UUGAAUAUGUACCGGUGGCAUUUUUGUAAAUACCCUGACAUUAACGACAACGUUUUUGGUGCUGCCCGAUGUCGUAUUUGAGCAAUUCAAAUGACUACGUUUGAGUAGUGAAAAACGUCUUUGUAUUUGACAGAAUACAACAACGUUUUUUAAGAAAUCACCGUCCUUGUUGCAGUUUUACAAAUUAAAAUAAAAUUUUAGAAACUACGCCAUUACCUUUUAUCUCUUUGCCCUUCCUAUCUGUUGUGAGCACGCCCUAGCUAGCAACCUCCUUCGUAGCAAACCUCUGUGGUGCCCUCCCUGGUCUGCUUCUGCAUUUCGUCGGUGCCGGUAACUUGUCCGGGCUAGGUUUUGUCCAACUUUUGUGAGCUUGAUAGCUUCUGGAUUUCGAGGUUCAGACCCUCCACAGAACAAGAAGAAGAAGAUAACAAAGAAGGGGAGAUAAAGGUUCCUAUAAAUGUUGCUGGUUUGAUCAGAUAUAACUGGUGCCACCCCUUUUUUGGUAAAAUUAUCAUCCAUCUCAUGAAUAUGAUAAUAUAUAGCUCACUGCUGCAGCUGUGAAAGAUUGGAGGUUCCUAUAUCAAUAUCCUUUUGGGUUGAGUAGGUGGCUACCUUACCCUCUGGUUGACUUGGUUCCUAUAAAUUCUACUGGUUUGAUCAGAUAUAGGUGGUGCCACCCCUUUUUUGGUAAAAUUAUCGUCCAUGUCAUGAAUAUGAUAAUAUACAGCUCACUGCUGCAGCUGUGAAAGAUUGGAGAUACUGGAAGGACUUCUUGAACUACUAGAGAAUAAAGAAUGUGCUCAUUGGAAAGCUAAGUAGUUGCUUCUGAAAAAUAACCUAGAACCAAUGAAUUUUCCCACGUACUGAGGAGUUGAAUCUACACUGCUGUCAUUGCCUUGCCAUUACUGUCGUCACAGUCGUAGCUGUUAUUUACCAUAUUUUUUAGGUUUGUAUUUCUUUGACUCACAACAAUGAUAAUUGAAUGCUUCUUUGUAUAUGACAUGAUGUAUUAUAUAACUAAAUUAUGAGCAUUGUGAGCGAACCUUAGU